CAUUCACUUUUUAUGAUAAUUGGGAAUCGAACAAAUAGCAAAAUGGAAGCCAUGUCUGUCUCCCCCUCUUCCUCUCCACAAAUCACCAUCACUUCUUCCUUCAAUUUACUGACGAUGUGAGACCAUCACCGCCGCCUCCGUCCAGCUACUCGCCGCCGUCACCUUACUGAGGUAUAUUAAGUGAUGGCUUGGUGAGGCAGUCACGACCUUACUUGAACAGGAUCUGUUCUAUAGGCUCGUACCUCUGUAUCCUUGAUUUCUAAGGAGACAGGAAACCACGUCUGGUGGAUGAACCGUGGCUGCCUGGCUAGAGCGUGAUUAACAGCCCCUUGGGUCAGGUUUCUGGCUCGAGAUGCAGUAGAUGAUCGUUCUUGGCUCGGACUUUGGUCCAGUCAGGAUGGCUGGUCAGCUGUCUGACAGACUCAAAUCUUUUUUGUUUGUGAUUUAUUGAUGCAGCAGCUAAUAAGUAUGAUAGUUAUGUGAAAGGUAUGACAUUUGCUAACAGUUGUGAGUUUGUGUGGAAAAGGAGGUGUACAUGGAGGAGGUUUGGGGGUUGUUGGAGUUAAUGUGUUCCUUGGAAAUGUUUGUGCUGCACCGAUGCAGGAAAUGAAAGAACCUUGUGCUUGUUUUCUUAUUGUAGAUGAAUGCAUGUUUGGGUUGGCUAAUCUAACCAUCACUAUUGCUAUUUUAUUCCCACAUUGAAUAUGCUAUAGAGGAAGGAAGAGCAGACCAUGUUAGUAUAAAAUCAUGGGUCAGUCUAUGGAAAGCUCAUACCUUUCUCGGCCUUUUGGCUAAGAUCAAGUGUAGUAUCUGUUCUUAUCAGUUUAAUAUCUGAUAUGUGAGUCAUCGACUCACACGAUAUUAAAUUUAUUUUUUGAGGGGGAAAGUCCAUCAAGGUAGCUUGCUACUUGGGUUUUCAUGUGUCGCCUUUGCGUUGCACUAUUGCAUUGGCCAGGCACACCCCACC